AUUGAACGCUGGCGGCAGGCCUAACACAUGCAAGUCGAGCGGAUGAAGGGAGCUUGCUCCUGGAUUCAGCGGCGGACGGGCGAGUAAUGCCUAGGAAUCUGCCUGGUAGUGGGGGAUAACGUCCGGAAACGGGCGCUAAUACCGCAUACGUCCUGAGGGAGAAAGUGGGGGAUCUUCGGACCUCACGCUAUCAGAUGAGCCUAGGUCGGAUUAGCUAGUUGGUGGGGUAAAGGCCUACCAAGACGACGAUCCGUAACUGGUCUGAGAGGAUGAUCAGUCACACUGGAACUGAGACACGGUCCAGACUCCUACGGGAGGCAGCAGUGGGGAAUAUUGGACAAUGGGCGAAAGCCUGAUCCAGCCAUGCCGCGUGUGUGAAGAAGGUCUUCGGAUUGUAAAGCACUUUAAGUUGGGAGGAAGGGCAGUAAGUUAAUACCUUGCUGUUUUGACGUUACCAACAGAAUAAGCACCGGCUAACUUCGUG
rnacentral:rRNA from 1 species